UACAGAGGGGGCGAGCGUUGUUCGGAAUUACUGGGCGUAAAGGGCGCGUAGGUGGCCUGUUAAGUCGAACGUGAAAUCCCCGGGCUCAACCCGGGAACUGCGUCCGAGACUGGCAGGCUCGAAUCCGGGAGAGGGAUGUGGAAUUCCAGGUGUAGCGGUGAAAUGCGUAGAUAUCUGGAGGAACACCGGUGGCGAAGGCGACAUCCUGGACCGGUAUUGACGCUGAGGCGCGAAAGCCAGGGGAGCAAACGGG
rnacentral:rRNA from 1 species